CGCCGCCGCCGCCGCCUCCCUCCGUCUCUCCCUCCCUCCCGCUCCGCCGCGCCGCGGUCUGGCCGGCAGCCCCUCCUCUCAGGGCGUCUACAGAAACAUUUUGGUGAAAUACCUCAUCGGUCCUUCUUUCCUUGGGCUCGGCAUUUGCAUUAGAUUGCACCAAAAUGCUCCUUCGCAGGGAAGGAUUUUACAUCUUGGGGACAGAUAUGUGAUGCAUACAGCUUAUGCAGUGCUCCGUUUAAGCUCACAGACAAUGACAGACUGUAAGAAACCAUCGCUGGGAAGAGAGAAACUGAAACGGGGAUGGUUAUAGGCCUACUUCUGCCUUCAAAGAGGGAAAAAAACCCCAACAGACAAAACUCUCAAGGGUUAUAACUGGAACAGAAAAAGGUCUUUGGUGUUAGCAUUUGUGAUUCAGCCUUACAUGAUAAUGGUUACCAGCAGCCUCAUUUUCUUUUUAUGGUCAUCCUGGUUUCCCGGUUGCAUGACACUUCCAUUGGCCCACUGUUCUUAAUAAUUUAACCUUUUAUGAAAUUGUUUUGAUUUACAGUGUAGAUUAGAGUAAGAGUGAAAAAGUAUGAUAUCACCCCUUGGCUAUUAAAUUUCUUUGAACUAUACACAAAUGUGAGAAAGGUUUGUUUUCUUCCUCGCCAGCUACUAAUUUUCUAAUUUUAUUUUUACUUAACUGAAGAAUACCAUUCAGAUGUAAGUUCUCUGUGCUGAGCUAUGCAAAAUCUAUGCUGAAUUUUGGAUUCAGUGGUUGGCUUGUUUGCUUGCUGGAGUCCUAAGUCAUAUAAACUAUGAUGAAAAUAGAAUUAAAACCACAACUCAA